rnacentral:rRNA from 1 species
GGUUAAGCGACUAAGCGUACACGGUGGAUGCCCUGGCAGUCAGAGGCGAUGAAGGACGUGCUAAUCUGCGAUAAGCGUCGGUAAGGUGAUAUGAACCGUUAUAACCGGCGAUUUCCGAAUGGGGAAACCCAGUGUGUUUCGACACACUAUCAUUAACUGAAUCCAUAGGUUAAUGAGGCGAACCGGGGGAACUGAAACAUCUAAGUACCCCGAGGAAAAGAAAUCAACCGAGAUUCCCCCAGUAGCGGCGAGCGAACGGGGAGCAGCCCAGAGCCUGAAUCAGUGUGUGUGUUAGUGGAAGCGUCUGGAAAGGCGCGCGAUACAGGGUGACAGCCCCGUACACAAAAAUGCACAUGCUGUGAGCUCGAUGAGUAGGGCGGGACACGUGGUAUCCUGUCUGAAUAUGGGGGGACCAUCCUCCAAGGCUAAAUACUCCUGACUGACCGAUAGUGAACCAGUACCGUGAGGGAAAGGCGAAAAGAACCCCGGCGAGGGGAGUGAAAAAGAACCUGAAACCGUGUACGUACAAGCAGUGGGAGCACGCUUAGGCGUGUGACUGCGUACCUUUUGUAUAAUGGGUCAGCGACUUAUAUUCUGUAGCAAGGUUAACCGAAUAGGGGAGCCGAAGGGAAACCGAGUCUUAACUGGGCGUUAAGUUGCAGGGUAUAGACCCGAAACCCGGUGAUCUAGCCAUGGGCAGGUUGAAGGUUGGGUAACACUAACUGGAGGACCGAACCGACUAAUGUUGAAAAAUUAGCGGAUGACUUGUGGCUGGGGGUGAAAGGCCAAUCAAACCGGGAGAUAGCUGGUUCUCCCCGAAAGCUAUUUAGGUAGCGCCUCGUGAAUUCAUCUCCGGGGGUAGAGCACUGUUUCGGCAAGGGGGUCAUCCCGACUUACCAACCCGAUGCAAACUGCGAAUACCGGAGAAUGUUAUCACGGGAGACACACGGCGGGUGCUAACGUCCGUCGUGAAGAGGGAAACAACCCAGACCGCCAGCUAAGGUCCCAAAGUCAUGGUUAAGUGGGAAACGAUGUGGGAAGGCCCAGACAGCCAGGAUGUUGGCUUAGAAGCAGCCAUCAUUUAAAGAAAGCGUAAUAGCUCACUGGUCGAGUCGGCCUGCGCGGAAGAUGUAACGGGGCUAAACCAUGCACCGAAGCUGCGGCAGCGACACUAUGUGUUGUUGGGUAGGGGAGCGUUCUGUAAGCCUGUGAAGGUGUGCUGUGAGGCAUGCUGGAGGUAUCAGAAGUGCGAAUGCUGACAUAAGUAACGAUAAAGCGGGUGAAAAGCCCGCUCGCCGGAAGACCAAGGGUUCCUGUCCAACGUUAAUCGGGGCAGGGUGAGUCGACCCCUAAGGCGAGGCCGAAAGGCGUAGUCGAUGGGAAACAGGUUAAUAUUCCUGUACUUGGUGUUACUGCGAAGGGGGGACGGAGAAGGCUAUGUUGGCCGGGCGACGGUUGUCCCGGUUUAAGCGUGUAGGCUGGUUUUCCAGGCAAAUCCGGAAAAUCAAGGCUGAGGCGUGAUGACGAGGCACUACGGUGCUGAAGCAACAAAUGCCCUGCUUCCAGGAAAAGCCUCUAAGCAUCAGGUAACAUCAAAUCGUACCCCAAACCGACACAGGUGGUCAGGUAGAGAAUACCAAGGCGCUUGAGAGAACUCGGGUGAAGGAACUAGGCAAAAUGGUGCCGUAACUUCGGGAGAAGGCACGCUGAUAUGUAGGUGAAGUCCCUUGCGGAUGGAGCUGAAAUCAGUCGAAGAUACCAGCUGGCUGCAACUGUUUAUUAAAAACACAGCACUGUGCAAACACGAAAGUGGACGUAUACGGUGUGACGCCUGCCCGGUGCCGGAAGGUUAAUUGAUGGGGUCAGCGCAAGCGAAGCUCUUGAUCGAAGCCCCGGUAAACGGCGGUACGUAACUAUAACGGUCCUAAGGUAGCGAAAUUCCUUGUCGGGUAAGUUCCGACCUGCACGAAUGGCGUAAUGAUGGCCAGGCUGUCUCCACCCGAGACUCAGUGAAAUUGAACUCGCUGUGAAGAUGCAGUGUACCCGCGGCAAGACGGAAAGACCCCGUGAACCUUUACUAUAGCUUGACACUGAACAUUGAGCCUUGAUGUGUAGGAUAGGUGGGAGGCUUUGAAGUGUGGACGCCAGUCUGCAUGGAGCCGACCUUGAAAUACCACCCUUUAAUGUUUGAUGUUCUAACGUUGACCCGUAAUCCGGGUUGCGGACAGUGUCUGGUGGGUAGUUUGACUGGGGCGGUCUCCUCCUAAAGAGUAACGGAGGAGCACGAAGGUUGGCUAAUCCUGGUCGGACAUCAGGAGGUUAGUGCAAUGGCAUAAGCCAGCUUGACUGCGAGCGUGACGGCGCGAGCAGGUGCGAAAGCAGGUCAUAGUGAUCCGGUGGUUCUGAAUGGAAGGGCCAUCGCUCAACGGAUAAAAGGUACUCCGGGGAUAACAGGCUGAUACCGCCCAAGAGUUCAUAUCGACGGCGGUGUUUGGCACCUCGAUGUCGGCUCAUCACAUCCUGGGGCUGAAGUAGGUCCCAAGGGUAUGGCUGUUCGCCAUUUAAAGUGGUACGCGAGCUGGGUUUAGAACGUCGUGAGACAGUUCGGUCCCUAUCUGCCGUGGGCGCUGGAGAACUGAGGGGGCUGCUCCUAGUACGAGAGGACCGGAGUGGACGCAUCACUGGUGUUCGGGUUGUCAUGCCAAUGGCACUGCCCGGUAGCUAAAUGCGGAAGAGAUAAGUGCUGAAAGCAUCUAAGCACGAAACUUGCCCCGAGAUGAGUUCUCCCUGACUCCUUGAGAGUCCUGAAGGAACGUUGAAGACGACGACGUUGAUAGGCCGGGUGUGUAAGCGCAGCGAUGCGUUGAGCUAACCGGUACUAAUGAACCGUGAGGCUUAACCUU